rnacentral:sRNA from 1 species
AGAUUUGAGGGUGAUCUGCCUAUGACAUCUGCCAACCCAUUGACUAUCAGGGUUGAUUCAACUAUUCUGGCUGGCUAGGUGGUAUCUCUUCUCCCUCACUGUUCACGUACACUUCCCAAAGCUUUGUCCUCGGACCCCAAGUAUGGCAGUCCCCAAGAAGAAACGUACCAUUCGAAGGUAUAGGAAUAGCGCUCCCCAGCUGGGAGCUCCGAAUACNNNNNNN